UUUGAAACAACUAUAAAUUCUGCUGGCAACACUGAUUACAUGUUGUCAACGUCCUGUGUCAAAGAAGGAUUCGAUUUUAUUAUAGAUUAUAAAAAAAAUAUAUAUAUCUUCAUUUCAUCUCAUUAUUAUUAAAUACAUACCGUACAGAUAGCUAAUUACUUACUACUGUGAUGGGAUAACCAGAAACCUUUCCAGCGGUACCUGGGACGUCUAGACGGAACCAGAAAAUGUUGGUUUGCCAAAACCAAGAAAUUGCAAAUCUGGUGUCCGACUCCAACGUUAUCCAGACGACGUUGGCUCCGAUACAUAGUCUAGAUGGGUGACGAUAGUGCACUAAGAAGAACGUACAACGAAGUACCACAUGGCCGAAAACAAAUAGACGAUUGGUGUAUCAAUAUGCACCUCUGCUUGGUGCCUUAGAACAACACAGUUUUUUUGUCACCAUUUGUGUUGGUGUAUUAUAAAUUUGUGUGUUUAUAAAUGUAUAUAAAUAUAUUUAGGUAAAGUGAAGUUCAAUAGAAAUGACAAAUAAUGUAAACAUACCAAUUUAACAUAAUUCUUUCAUAAUCUUGCACUUUUUCAUCAAUAGCUGGGUCCACACAGAGCGAGCAUACACAAGAGGCAAUUUCCUCAUGCACAAACCAACCAGUGUGGACGUGCCUCAGCCAAGGCGGUGCGCUUAAGCGAGGAAAACGCAGAUAUUGCCUCGGCCAAGGCACAUCUACACUGGCCGGUUUGUGCGAGAGGUAAUUGCCUUGUACAUACAUGCUCGCUCGCUCACUUUGUAUGGACCCACCUAAUAGUGUAUAUAUUUAAAUAUUCUAUUGAUAUAAAUGUUAAUAAUUAAUAUUUUAAAGUAAACAUUGUGAAAAUAUUAUAUUAUAUGUGAAAUGCUAACAAAAUCUGUCAUGUAAGUUUAAAUUAUUUGCCGUUUUUAUUAAACAUAAUUAAUCCUUUGAAUGUUAAAUAUUUUUAAACAUGUCUUAAGAAGUUGUGUCCAUCAGUGGUAUUAAGAACUUUCAAGGCAGUAUGCCAUCAGUGUGCAGCAAAUGAUUUUUAAUUGAUGAAUUGCCCUGUAAAGUUUUGCCAUUGUUGAUUUAAGUAGUAGGUACUAAUUAUAUUGACUGUUGUGAUAAUAAAAUAUAUGCUUGAUAAGUAUGAAAAAAUUGUAUUAUAAAUAAAACUUUUUGUAUAGUAAAAA